GGGAAUGUUGCUCAGUUGGUAGAGUGCUUGCCUAGCAUGCAUGAAGCUCUGGGUUGCAUUCCCC
rnacentral:tRNA from 1 species